rnacentral:rRNA from 1 species
GACGAACGCUGGCGGCGUGCUUAACACAUGCAAGUCGAACGGAAAGGCCCUGCUUUUGUGGGGUGCUCGAGUGGCGAACGGGUGAGUAACACGUGAGUAACCUGCCCUUGACCUUGGGAUAACUUCAGGAAACUGGGGCUAAUACCGGAUAGGAGCUCCUGCUGCAUGGUGGGGGUUGGAAAGUUUCGGCGGUUGGGGAUGGACUCGCGGCUUAUCAGCUUGUUGGUGGGGUAGUGGCUUACCAAGGCUUUGACGGGUAGCCGGCCUGAGAGGGUGACCGGCCACAUUGGGACUGAGAUACGGCCCAGACUCCUACGGGCGGCAGCAGUGGGGAAUAUUGCACAAUGGGCGGAAGCCUGAUGCAGCAACGCCGCGUGCGGGAUGACGGCCUUCGGGUUGUAAACCGCUUUCGCCUGUGACGAAGCGUGAGUGACGGUAAUGGGUAAAGAAGCACCGGCUAACUACGUG